rnacentral:lncRNA from 1 species
CUUGCAAGGGGUCUCUGAUCAGGAACAGCCCGGUCUGUCGGACAGGUGGACUAUGGUGGAAUCUUGAAAGAGAAUGGACUGGGAUCUUGAUUACUUUGUGCCCAAGAGACCAAGGUCUCAUUUGAACGAGGUGGGAAUUAGAGGAGGGUCAAGGGUUGACGAGCUCUCUCACACGUUUGAUUCAUCGCAAGUUUACGUGUGCAUGUGACGUGGCUCCUGCGUGUCGAUGUGGUGGGGGACAUCGCGGGCACAGAUACGUUGUGUCACUCAAUCUCACAGUGGCCAUAGGAGGCUGGAGCCGUGCAUCCGUCAGUUGCAGGAGACAAAAAAUCCAGCGCAGAGGGAGUUUGCAGACUCUGGGAACUGGCCGUGUGAGCACUGACCAGGCUUCAGGCCUGGCUCUAACAAUCUGGGGUCUGAUCUCUCGCAGUCUUCCCUCUUUGCUCCCUGACGAGUUGGCCUCGCUCUCAGCUAGUCUCUUCCGAUUGAAGGCAAAGUGGUCACUCGCGGCUCCUGAGGUAGCCUCCUCCUCUGUCAACUUACAGCCUCAGUGGAAAAGCAGCCUUUACCACGAGCUCAGCAAGAGGCUCAGGAAGGGUUUUCAUUGGUCCAGCUCGAGUCACACACCUGUCCCUGACCAAUCACGGGGCUGUGUGUGAAUUAAGUGCCCACCCCUGGAGACCCUCAUGGACUGAGAGCCGGGGAGGGGGGUCCCCAAAGAAAAGAGGUAGUUUUUUUUUUAACCUGUUUGGGUCAUUUCUUCACCCUUCAUUUUAUUUUAUUGUGGUAAAACACGCACAACAUAAAAUUUACCAU